AUUGAACGCUGGCGGCAGGCUUAACACAUGCAAGUCGAGCGGGGGAAGGUAGCUUGCUACCGGACCUAGCGGCGGACGGGUGAGUAAUGCUUAGGAAUCUGCCUAUUAGUGGGGGACAACAUCUCGAAAGGGAUGCUAAUACCGCAUACGUCCUACGGGAGAAAGCUGGGGAUCUUCGGACCUUGCGCUAAUAGAUGAGGCUAAGUCGGAUUAGCUAGUUGGUGGGGUAAAGGCCUACCAAGGCGACGAUCUGUAGCGGGUCUGAGAGGAUGAUCCGCCACACUGGGACUGAGACACGGCCCAGACUCCUACGGGAGGCAGCAGUGGGGAAUAUUGGACAAUGGGGGGAACCCUGAUCCAGCCAUGCCGCGUGUGUGAAGAAGGCCUUAUGGUUGUAAAGCACUUUAAGCGAGGAGGAGGCUACUCUAGUUAAUACCUAGGGAUAGUGGACGUUACUCGCAGAAUAAGCACCGGCUAACUCUGUGCCAGCCGCCGCAGUAA
rnacentral:rRNA from 1 species